GAUAUUCUUCAGUCCAGCCGCAAGAAGAAGAAGAAGAAGCGUGAGUUUUCGUUCCUCUCUUCUUUUCGUUUCUCUCUGAUUCUCUUCGCUGCGAUCUCGUUUGAGUAUUAUUAGAUUUCUUGUGAGUUUUCUCUCAUCGUGUGUUCUGCUGCUAGCUCCUGGAAAUAUUCUAAGUUCGUUGUUUUGUUCAUUUUGAGGUUUAGAGUCCUUUGAUUUGUUGUUUGUUCUGCUGUAGAUAUUUAUCCUUGGAAUGAGUAAGAUUAGAGUUUCAGUGAUGAAGCUUUUCGUUUAUUUGAUUGAUGUCCUUACUGAUUACGACUGUAAAUGAUAUUUUGAUGCCUUUUUCCACCGUAAAUUGUAGACAAACCCUAGAAACUUGGAUUCUUCUGAGAGUUUGAAAUUUGACAGAGCAGUGAGAUAAACCAGUUGGAUGAUUUUUAUUAAACUCAUCCAAGAAAUGAUCCUAAUCCAGCUGAGUCUGAUCGGAGCAGUUAACUGGAGCUGCUUCAGUCUAAAAUAGAAAAGGACCUAAAUACCCCUAUCAAAUUUAGAGAAUUACACCAAAACCUAAACCUUCUUCUCCUUCUUCUCCUCAUCCUCGACACAUAACAUUCCUUUGGCCAUCUCUGUAGAGAAGAGAAACGAGAUCUCUUCUUCGCCGGAUCUCUUCGUCGCAUGAUCUCCUCCGCCGGAUCUCUCACCGGAAUCCACUCCUCUUUGAUCUUCUCACCCCACUCCACUCCUCUUUGAUCUCUUCGCCGGAUCUCUUCUUCUCUCUCUCGUGCGUGGGUUUAAGGUGUUACAGAUUGAAUUAGCUGCGACCACUGUUUGAGAGGUGUUACCGAUUGAAAUCGCUGCAACCACUGUUUGAGAGGCUAUGUUUAGUGUGGAGGUUGCUGCUACUAUGUUUAGUUUCAUAGUAAAAGAGAAGUUACCAGAGAGUUACAAUGGUUCUGAAUAAACCAUAAACCAUAUAGGGAGAAGAACAAUAGUUUCUACUGUUUUGAGUGAUUUUACAAUGGUUUUGAUAUGUUGCUUACAUUCAAUGAGUGUCUUUCAAUGUCUCUUAUGAAGUAGUUUUUUUCUAUGUGUCAAUGUUUCAAGGUUUAUUUUGUGUUUAUUUCUUUCUUUACUCAAUGAGUGUCUUUCAAUGUCUCUUAUGAAUCCAAAGAAAGCUGUCUCUAUUUCUUUCUUUGACUUUCAAUCGCAAGUAUGUGUCAGCGUCUAUGUUUCUGGUUUUAGCUCAUUAAGGCACAAUAAUUGACUAUCUAAUUAGUCUUCUACCAUCAAAUUUCUUGAAGACCACAGAGAGCUUUGCAAUGAAUUUUAGAUUGGUGUUUGCAUGUUUA